rnacentral:lncRNA from 1 species
AUUUUCCGAAAUUACUAAAUUUCCCACAGUCACUGUUCAUCGGUAUAUAUACAUUUACUUGAAAAUCAGCAAAAUCACACACACCUCUCUCUGUCCCCUUUUCUAUUACCUCGCCGGCGCUCACCAAGCCCUAGCUCUCCCUUUCUCUCUCAUCCCCACACUCUCUAUCUCUUUCUAUAGAUUCCGUAACUAUACCCCGAGUUUUAUUCUCCAGCUGAAUUACCGAUUAAUUCCGACAAGGUAAGAAUUGACCGAUCUGUCAAUUGUCAAUUUACCGUUCCUCUCUCAAGAAUUUGUUCUGAUUAACUUCUGUGUUAUCGUUCCUAGCUUUGCUGAAGCUCUUUCCUCGUGCGUGUGCGU